rnacentral:lncRNA from 1 species
GAUUCGGCUAUGAGGAGAGGGUCCAGGAGACACGAUGGAAAAACACCUGUAGCCCAGAGAGGCAGAUCAAUACUAAAGAUAAGAAUAAGUAAACAAACAAACGAAAAAUUCCAAAAGCAAUUAAAAAAAAGAAAAAGAAAAAUUACCCCAGCUGGGCACGGUGGUAUCCACUUGGAAUACAGCACUUUAGAAGCUGAGGCAGGAGGACUUCUGUGUGCAAAUGUUUGUCUGCAUGAAGGCGUGCGCACCGCAUGUGUGCGGGACAGGACCCACGGAAGCCGGGAGGACAUUGGAUGCCCUGAAAACAGAGUUGAGGAUGGUUGUGAGCCACCACGUGGUACUGGGAAUUGAACCUGGAUCUUCCUCGAGAGCAGCCAGUGCUCCUAACCACUGGGCGGUCUCUCCAGCCCUAGUUGUGGAUAAUUUUACUUUUAUUUUGAUGGUGUGGUUUUGGUUAGGAGUGAUAAUGUCCUUGUGGCUUGUCAAAUAAAAGGAAGGCCUUGUGUGUGCACACAUGUUGUGUGAUACCACUGAUAAGCAGGGUCCAGAACAGGCCAAUCUCUAGAGACAGACGCUGGGCUAGUGGUUCCCAGGGGCUGAGGAGGAGGGAAGGAUAGUGACUGCUAAAGGCUGUGGGGCUCUUUCUUGGGGUGAUUUGAUGUUUUAAAGUGACAACUGGUGACAAUUACACCAUUCUC